rnacentral:rRNA from 1 species
CUUUCGAAAGGAAGAUUAAUACCCCAUAACAUAUUAAGUGGCAUCACUUGAUAUUGAAAACUCCGGUGGAUAGAGAUGGGCACGCGCAAGAUUAGAUAGUUGGUGAGGUAACGGCUCACCAAGUCAAUGAUCUUUAGGGGGCCUGAGAGGGUGAUCCCCCACACUGGUACUGAGACACGGACCAGACUCCUACGGGAGGCAGCAGUGAGGAAUAUUGGACAAUGGGUGAGAGCCUGAUCCAGCCAUCCCGCGUGAAGGACGACGGCCCUAUGGGUUGUAAACUUCUUUUGUAUAGGGAUAAACCUUUCCACGUGUGGAAAGCUGAAGGUACUAUACGAAUAAGCACCGGCUAACUCCGUGCCAGCAGCCGCGGUAAUACGGAGGGUGCAAGCGUUAUCCGGAUUUAUUGGGUUUAAAGGGUCCGUAGGCGGGCUCGUAAGUCAGUGGUGAAAUCUCAUAGCUUAACUAUGAAACUGCCAUUGAUACUGCGAGCCUUGAGUAAGGUAGAGGUAGCUGGAAUAAGUAGUGUAGCGGUGAAAUGCAUAGAUAUUACUUAGAACACCAAUUGCGAAGGCAGGUUACCAUGUCUUAACUGACGCUGAUGGACGAAAGCGUGGGGAGCGAACAGGAUUAGAUACCCUGGUAGUCCACGCCGUAAACGAUGCUAACUCGUUUUUGGGGCUUUAAGCUUCAGAGACUAAGCGAAAGUGAUAAGUUAGCCACCUGGGGAGUACGUUCGCAAGAAUGAAACUCAAAGGAAUUGACGGGGGCCCGCACAAGCGGUGGAUUAUGUGGUUUAAUUCGAUGAUACGCGAGGAACCUUACCAAGGCUUAAAUGGGAAUUGACAGGUUUAGAAAUAGACUUUUCUUCGGACAAUUUUCAAGGUGCUGCAUGGAAGUCGUCAGCUCGUGCCGUGAGGUGUUAGGUUAAGUCCUGCAACGAGCGCAACCCCUGUCACUAGUUGCUAGCAUUAAGUUGAGGACUCUAGUGAGACUGCCUACGCAAGUAGAGAGGAAGGUGGGGAUGACGUCAAAUCAUCACGGCCCUUACGCCUUGGGCCACACACGUAAUACAAUGGCCGGUACAGAGGGCAGCUACACAGCGAUGUGAUGCAAAUCUCGAAAGCCGGUCUCAGUUCGGAUUGGAGUCUGCAACUCGACUCUAUGAAGCUGGAAUCGCUAGUAAUCGCGCAUCAGCCAUGG